rnacentral:lncRNA from 12 species
AUGGGAUGGAAGAAGAAUGUCACGUGGACUGGUGGUCGUGAACCUUCCUUGAAAACUUGGAAGAGGCCUUCUUUAACUCCACGAAGACAAAUGGAUAAAUCAGUUCACAGAUUAUUGUUAUAUUUGGUAGAGAGAGGAAGGCGGGUGAUAAAAUUGGGGGACCAGCAGACCAGAGCAUGGAGAAGUGAUGCGGGGAACGCAGAGCCUUGCACCUCAAGGUAUGGCAUCAAAUGUCUGCUAAGAGAAGCCUCAGGAUUUAAUGCAAUGAAGAAGAAUGAUGUGCAAGUAGUAUACACUGUGAGUAAACAUGGGCUUCUGAAUUGUUUGAAACUUUUUUCCCCGUUGACUCUGGCAGCUGACAUGAUGGUCAUUCACUUUUCAGGAUCAGAUUUGAUGUGUGGAUAGCUGGUGAUAUACUUGAGGAUUUUAGUAUUCUUCACUUAUAAACCUAGUGUGUUUGUGUGCUAGAAAUCUGUAUUUUACCUCACAUAUUAAACCAUUCCCUAGCUAAGCUGUGCUUUGGAUAUGUUGUGUUCCUAAUCUGAAGAAAAGAGAAAGAUUUUGAGGCUUGAUUUUUACAGCAAUGAGUCUCACUGACACUCCAAUAUCUGAAUAAUUUGGAAGUUGUUGUGGCCUUAUAAUUCAUCUCCA